rnacentral:rRNA from 1 species
AGUGGCAGACGAGGUAGUAAUACGCAGGUACGCACCGAAGAGUCGGGCAUAGCCAGCCGAAAGGUUGGGUAAUUCCCGAUGGUCCCCGAGAGUAAUCGAGGGGUAAAGGAGUAAUCCGCUCUUUGAGCGGCCUGCGGCGCAUCAGCUUGUUGGCAGGGUAACGGCCUACCAAGGCAAUGACGCGUAGGGGAGCUGAGGGGCUGACCCCCACCGAUAGCACUGAGACACGGGCUAUACACCUACGGGUGGCUGCAGUCGAGAAUCUUCCGCAAUGGGCGAAAGCCUGACGGAGCGACGCCGCGUGGUUGAUGAAGUCCUUCGGGACGUAAAAACCUUUUAUGGGGGAGGAAGUAAUUGACGUUACCCCAUGAAUAAGAGGCUCCUAACUCUGUGCCAGCAGGAGCGGUAAUACAGAGGCCUCAAGCGUUACCCGGAAUCAUUGGGCGUAAAGGGUGUGUAGGCGGCGUUGUUAGUCUUUUGUAAAAGCUCUCUGGCUCAACCGGGGAAAUGCGAAAGA